CGCCUCUUGUUUAAUUAUCAGGAUCCCUGCCUGACAAGUGAUAUAAUUCUUCGGCCGCGGUCCCCUCUCCGUGCGAAGGUCGCAUAUUCACUUGUUCUUUAAAUAUGGUCUUGUAUCAACGGCAUCACGAGGGCUGCACUGUCUCCUAUCUCCAAUCAGUGAAACUGAUCUCCCCGUGAAGAAGCGGGGAUUAACCUAUAAGACGAGAAGACCCCAUGGAGCUUAAAGCCCACACAACUCUAUGCACUUAAAUCAAUAUAGCCCAAGAAACCUAGCAAACGGCUUUAGGUUGGGGGGACCGCGGAGUAAAACCUAAACCUCCACGACAAACGGGCAUACGCCCUUAUACAAGAAUGACAAUUCUAAGAAUCAAUAAACUGAUGUUUAAUGACCCGAUUAUUCGAUCAACGAACCAAGUUACCCUAGGGAUAACAGCGCAAUCUACUACAAGAGACACUAUCAACAAGUAGGUUUACGACCUCGAUGUUGGAUCAGGGUAUCCUAGUGGUGCAGCCGCUACUAAAGGUUCGAUUGUUCAACGAUUAAAACCCU
rnacentral:rRNA from 1 species